CGAUGGCGUCGUCGGUGAGGCU
rnacentral:misc_RNA from 1 species